rnacentral:rRNA from 1 species
GAUGAACGCUGGCGGCGUGCCUAAUACAUGCAAGUCGAGCGAACGGACGAGAAGCUUGCUUCUCUGAUGUUAGCGGCGGACGGGUGAGUAACACGUGGAUAACCUACCUAUAAGACUGGGAUAACUUCGGGAAACCGGAGCUAAUACCGGAUGAUAUUUUGAACCGCAUGGUUCAAAAGUGAAAGACGGUCUUGCUGUCACUUAUAGAUGGAUCCGCGCUGCAUUAGCUAGUUGGUAAGGUAACGGCUUACCAAGGCAACGAUGCAUAGCCGACCUGAGAGGGUGAUCGGCCACACUGGAAAAGAGACACGGUCAAGACUCCUACGGGAGGCAGAAGUAGGGAAUCUUCCGCAAUGGGAGAAAGCCUGACGGAGCAAAGCCGCGUGAGUGAUGAAGGUCUUCGGAUCGUAAAACUCUGUUAUUAGGGAAGAACAUAUGUGUAAGUAACUGUGCACAGCUUGACGGUACCUAAGCAGAAAGCCACGGCUAACUACGUG